rfam:Acyrthosiphon pisum strain LSR1 Contig40310, whole genome shotgun sequence.
GUUCUUACAAUGUGCUGUUAAGUGUCGGUUAACUUUAACCGGAUAUUGUAAGAACGG